rnacentral:precursor_RNA from 7 species
CAUAUCACAAGCAUAUUAGUCUCUAGGAUGUGCUCAUUGCAUGGGCUGUGUAGAUUUUUAUUUAAUACACAGAACAUGCAGUGAGAACUUGAUAGAGAUUGGAAGACAUCCAGAAGAAU